AUAACAUGUUGAACCGCAUGGUUCAACACUGAAAGACGGUUUUGCUGUCACUUAUAGAGGGAUCCGCGCCGCAUUAGCUAGUUGGUAAGGUAACGGCUUACCAAGGCAACGAUGGUAGCCGACCCGAGAGGGUGAUUGGCCACACUGGAAAUGAGACACGGUCCAGACUCUCUACGGGAGGCAGCAGUAGGGAAUCUUUCGCAAUGGGCGAAAGCCCGACGGAGCAACGCCGCGUGAGUGAAGAAGGUUUCGGAUCGUAAAACUCUGUUAUUAGGGAAGAACAAAUGUGUAAGUAACUAUGCACGUCUUGACGGUACCUAAUCAGAAAGCCACGGCUAAAUACGUGCCAGCACCCGCGGUAAUACGUAGGUGGCAAGCGUUAUCCGGAAUUAUUGGGCGUAAAGCGCGCGUAGGCGGUUUUUUAAGUCUGAUGUGAAAGCCCACGGCUCAACCGUGGAGGGUCAUUGGAAACUGGAAAACUUGAGUGCAGAAGAGGAAAGUGGAAUUCCAUGUGUAGCGGUGAAAUGCGCAGAGAUAUGGAGGAACACCCCUGGCGAAGGGGACUUUUUGGUCUGUAACUGACGCUGAUGUGCGAAAGCGUGGGGAUCAAACAGGAUUAGAUACCCUGGUAGUCCACCCCGUAAACGAUGAGUGCUAAGUGUUAGGGGGUUUCCGCCCCUUAGUGCUGCAGCUAAGCGCAUUAA
rnacentral:rRNA from 1 species